GACGAACGCUGGCGGCGUGCUUAACACAUGCAAGUCGAACGGUGAACCAGGGCUUGCCCUGGGGAUCAGUGGCGAACGGGUGAGUAACACGUGGGCAACCUGCCCCUGACUCUGGGAUAACUCCUCGAAAGAGGUGCUAAUACCGGAUACGACCACUUCGGGCAUCCGAUGGUGGUGGAAAGAAUUUUGGUCAGGGAUGGGCCCGCGGCCUAUCAGCUUGUUGGUGGGGUAACGGCCCACCAAGGCGACGACGGGUAGCCGGCCUGAGAGGGGGACCGGCCACACUGAGACUGAGACACGACCCAGACUCCUACGGGAGGCAGCGGUGGGGAAUAUUGCGCAAUGGACGAAAGCCUGACGCAGCGACGCCGCGUGAGGGACGACGGCCUUCGGGUUGUAAACCUCUUUCAGCAGGGACGAAGCGCAAGUGACGGUACCUGCAGAAGAAGCACCGGCUAACUACGUGCCAGCAGCCGCAGUAAUAC
rnacentral:rRNA from 1 species